UACGUAGGGGGCUAGCGUUGUCCGGAUUUACUGGGCGUAAAGCGUGUGUAGGCGGACCUUUAAGUAGAAAGUGAAAGGUUGGUGCUCAACACCAACACUGCUCUCUAUACUGGAGGUCUUGAGUGUCGGAGAGGAAGAUGGAACUGCACGUGUAGCGGUGAAAUGCGUUGAGAUGUGCAGGAACACCAAUGGCGAAGGCAAUCUUCUGGACGAAAACUGACGCUGAGACACGAAAGCCAAGGUAGCAAACAGG
rnacentral:rRNA from 1 species